UAUCCAGACUCCUACGGGAGGCAGCAGUGGGGAAUAUUGCACAAUGGGGGGAACCCUGAUGCAGCGACGCCGCGUGGGUGAAGGAGUACUUCGGUACGUAAAGCCCUAUCAGCAGGAAAGAAAAUGACGGUACCUGACUAAGAAGCCCCGGCUAACUACGUGCCAGCAGCCGCGGUAAUACGUAGGGGGCAAGCGUUAUCCGGAUUUACUGGGUGUAAAGGGAGCGUAGACGGCAGUGCAAGUCCGGAGUGAAAGCCCGGGGCUCAACCCUGGGACUGCUCUGGAAACUGUAAAGCUGGAGUGCGGGAGGGGCAGGCGGAAUUCCUGGUGUAGCGGUGAAAUGCGUAGAUAUUAGGAAGAACACCAGUGGCGAAGGCGGCUUUCUGGACUGAAACUGACGCUGAGGCACGAAAGCGUGGGGAGCGAACAGGAUUAGAUACCCCCGUACAG
rnacentral:rRNA from 1 species